rnacentral:rRNA from 1 species
GAUGAACGCUGGCGGCGUGCCUAAUACAUGCAAGUCGAGCGAACAGACGAGGAGCUUACUCCUCUGACGUUAGCGGCGGACGGGUGAGUAACACGUGGAUAACCUACCUAUAAGACUGGGAUAACUUCGGGAAACCGGAGCUAAUACCGGAUAAUAUAUUGAACCGCAUGGUUCAAUAGUGAAAGACGGUUUUGCUGUCACUUAUAGAUGGAUCCGCGCCGCAUUAGCUAGUUGGUAAGGUAACGGCUUACCAAGGCAACGAUGCGUAGCCGACCUGAGAGGGUGAUCGGCCACACUGGAACUGAGACACGGUCCAGACUCCUACGGGAGGAAGCAGUAGGGAAUCUUCCGCAAUGGGCGAAAGCCUGACGGAGCAACGCCGCGUGAGCGAUGAAGGUCUUCGGAUCGUAAAACUCUGUUAUUAGGGAAGAACAAAUGUGUAAGUAACUAUGCACGUCUUGACGGUACCUAAUCAGAAAGCCACGGCUAACUACGUG